rnacentral:rRNA from 1 species
UACAGAGGUCUCGAGCGUUGUUCGGAUUCAUUGGGCGUAAAGGGUGCGUAGGUGGCGCCGUAAGUCGGGUGUGAAAUUUCGGAGCUUAACUCCGAAACUGCAUUCGAUACUGCGGUGCUUGAGGACUGGAGAGGAGACUGGAAUUCAUGGUGUAGCAGUGAAAUGCGUAGAUAUCAUGAGGAAGACCAGUGGCGAAGGCGGGUCUCUGGACAGUUCCUGACACUGAGGCACGAAGGCCAGGGGAGCAAACGGG